rnacentral:rRNA from 1 species
UGAGGAAUAUUGGUCAAUGGGCGUGAGCCUGAACCAGCCAAGUAGCGUGCAGGAAGACGGCCCUAUGGGUUGUAAACUGCUUUUAUGCGGGGAUAAAGGAGUCCACGUGUGGAUUUUUGCAGGUACCGCAUGAAUAAGGACCGGCUAAUUCCGUGCCAGCAGCCGCGGUAAUACGGAAGGUCCGGGCGUUAUCCGGAUUUAUUGGGUUUAAAGGGAGCGUAGGCCGCGUUUUAAGCAUGUUGUGAAAUGUAGACGCCCAACGUCUGCAUCGCAGCGCGAACUGGGACGCUUGAGUACGCGCAACGUUGGCGGAAUUCGUCGUGUAGCGGUGAAAUGCUUAGAUAUGACGAGGAACUCCGAUUGCGAAGGCAGCUGACGGGAGCGGCACUGACGCUUAAGCUCGAAGGUGCGGGUAUCAAACAGG